AGCGAACGCUGGCGGCAGGCCUAACACAUGCAAGUCGAACGAAGUCUUCGGACUUAGUGGCGGACAGGUGAGUAACACGUGGGAACGUGCCUUUAGGUUCGGAAUAACUCAGGGAAACUUGUGCUAAUACCGAAUGUGCCCUUCGGGGGAAAGAUUUAUCGCCUUUAGAGCGGCCCGCGUCUGAUUAGCUAGUUGGUGAGGUAAAGGCUCACCAAGGCUACGAUCAGUAGCUGGUCUGAGAGGAUGACCAGCCACGUUGGGACUGAGACACGGCCCAAACUCCUACGGGAGGCAGCAGUGGGGAAUCUUGCGCAAUGGGCGAAAGCCUGACGCAGCCAUGCCGCGUGGAUGAUGAAGGUCUUAGGAUUGUAAAAUCCUUUCACCGGUGAAGAUAAUGACUGUAGCCGGAGAAGAAGCCCCGGCUAACUUCGUGCCAGCCGCCGCAGUAACAC
rnacentral:rRNA from 1 species